rnacentral:lncRNA from 10 species
AUUAGAAGGUGGUGACAUCCAUUUGGUCGGUUAUGACUAACCCUUAGAAGAAUAGCAUAGCGCAGCACAGCACAACAGAAACUAUCAGAAUGCAUCAAAUGUCACAAAGGCUCUCCUACCAGGAUGACAAAAAUCGGCAACUGAUGCUCCCAGAGGAGGACAAGAGGGACAUCCGGCAAUCUCCAAAGAGGGGUUUCCUCCGCUCUGCCUCACUAGGUCAAAGAGCCUCCUUCCACCUGGAAUGUCUGAAGUGACAGAAGGACCGAGGGGGAGACAUCUCUCAGAAGACAGUCCUGCCCUUGCAUCUGGUUCAUCAUCAGGUAGCUCACACUUUUGGACAGGCCACUGUCACCUGCCAGCAGGCCAGACAGUCCCCAGGGUGAUGGACAAAUCCUGAAGACAUCAGUGGGUCUUCCCUGUCUCGAUGGCUGGCACGUCCAGGAGUCCAGGAGAAACAGGUCUUUCCAUGCCCAAGUUGGUACCUUUUUGGGUGAGAACACUCUGAAAAUGAAGACUCUGUAAGUUAUUUUGAGCCACACAAGAUCAGAGAUAGCCAUGUCCAAGCAU